rnacentral:rRNA from 1 species
UACGUAGGCAGCAAGCGUUGUUCGGAAUUACUGGGCGUAAAGAGUGUGUAGGCGGUGCUCUAAGUUCGGUGUGAAAUCUCUCGGCUUAACUGGGAGGGUGCGCCGGAAACUGGAGUGCUUGAGCGCGGGAGAGGAAAGCGGAAUUCCUGGUGUAGCGGUGAAAUGCGUAGAUAUCAGGAGGAACACCUGUGGUGUAGACGGCUUUCUGGACCGUAGCUGACGCUGAGACACGAAAGCGUGGGUAGCAAACAGG